rnacentral:rRNA from 1 species
UAAGCGACUAAGCGUACACGGUGGAUGCCCUGGCAGUCAGAGGCGAUGAAGGACGUGCUAAUCUGCGAUAAGCGUCGGUAAGGUGAUAUGAACCGUUAUAACCGGCGAUUUCCGAAUGGGGAAACCCAGUGUGAUUCGUCACACUAUCAUUAACUGAAUCCAUAGGUUAAUGAGGCGAACCGGGGGAACUGAAACAUCUAAGUACCCCGAGGAAAAGAAAUCAACCGAGAUUCCCCCAGUAGCGGCGAGCGAACGGGGAGCAGCCCAGAGCCUGAAUCAGUGUGUGUGUUAGUGGAAGCGUCUGGAAAGGCGCGCGAUACAGGGUGACAGCCCCGUACACAAAAAUGCACAUACUGUGAGCUCGAUGAGUAGGGCGGGACACGUGGUAUCCUGUCUGAAUAUGGGGGGACCAUCCUCCAAGGCUAAAUACUCCUGACUGACCGAUAGUGAACCAGUACCGUGAGGGAAAGGCGAAAAGAACCCCGGCGAGGGGAGUGAAAAAGAACCUGAAACCGUGUACGUACAAGCAGUGGGAGCCUCUUUUAUGGGGUGACUGCGUACCUUUUGUAUAAUGGGUCAGCGACUUAUAUUCUGUAGCAAGGUUAACCGAAUAGGGGAGCCGAAGGGAAACCGAGUCUUAACUGGGCGUUAAGUUGCAGGGUAUAGACCCGAAACCCGGUGAUCUAGCCAUGGGCAGGUUGAAGGUUGGGUAACACUAACUGGAGGACCGAACCGACUAAUGUUGAAAAAUUAGCGGAUGACUUGUGGCUGGGGGUGAAAGGCCAAUCAAACCGGGAGAUAGCUGGUUCUCCCCGAAAGCUAUUUAGGUAGCGCCUCGUGAAUUCAUCUCCGGGGGUAGAGCACUGUUUCGGCAAGGGGGUCAUCCCGACUUACCAACCCGAUGCAAACUGCGAAUACCGGAGAAUGUUAUCACGGGAGACACACGGCGGGUGCUAACGUCCGUCGUGAAGAGGGAAACAACCCAGACCGCCAGCUAAGGUCCCAAAGUCAUGGUUAAGUGGGAAACGAUGUGGGAAGGCCCAGACAGCCAGGAUGUUGGCUUAGAAGCAGCCAUCAUUUAAAGAAAGCGUAAUAGCUCACUGGUCGAGUCGGCCUGCGCGGAAGAUGUAACGGGGCUAAACCAUGCACCGAAGCUGCGGCAGCGACACUGUGUGUUGUUGGGUAGGGGAGCGUUCUGUAAGCCUGUGAAGGUGUGCUGUGAGGCAUGCUGGAGGUAUCAGAAGUGCGAAUGCUGACAUAAGUAACGAUAAAGCGGGUGAAAAGCCCGCUCGCCGGAAGACCAAGGGUUCCUGUCCAACGUUAAUCGGGGCAGGGUGAGUCGACCCCUAAGGCGAGGCCGAAAGGCGUAGUCGAUGGGAAACAGGUUAAUAUUCCUGUACUUGGUGUUACUGCGAAGGGGGGACGGAGAAGGCUAUGUUGGCCGGGCGACGGUUGUCCCGGUUUAAGCGUGUAGGCUGGUUUUCCAGGCAAAUCCGGAAAAUCAAGGCUGAGGCGUGAUGACGAGGCACUACGGUGCUGAAGCAACAAAUGCCCUGCUUCCAGGAAAAGCCUCUAAGCAUCAGGUAACAUCAAAUCGUACCCCAAACCGACACAGGUGGUCAGGUAGAGAAUACCAAGGCGCUUGAGAGAACUCGGGUGAAGGAACUAGGCAAAAUGGUGCCGUAACUUCGGGAGAAGGCACGCUGAUAUGUAGGUGAAGUCCCUCGCGGAUGGAGCUGAAAUCAGUCGAAGAUACCAGCUGGCUGCAACUGUUUAUUAAAAACACAGCACUGUGCAAACACGAAAGUGGACGUAUACGGUGUGACGCCUGCCCGGUGCCGGAAGGUUAAUUGAUGGGGUCAGCGCAAGCGAAGCUCUUGAUCGAAGCCCCGGUAAACGGCGGCCGUAACUAUAACGGUCCUAAGGUAGCGAAAUUCCUUGUCGGGUAAGUUCCGACCUGCACGAAUGGCGUAAUGAUGGCCAGGCUGUCUCCACCCGAGACUCAGUGAAAUUGAACUCGCUGUGAAGAUGCAGUGUACCCGCGGCAAGACGGAAAGACCCCGUGAACCUUUACUAUAGCUUGACACUGAACAUUGAGCCUUGAUGUGUAGGAUAGGUGGGAGGCUUUGAAGUGUGGACGCCAGUCUGCAUGGAGCCGACCUUGAAAUACCACCCUUUAAUGUUUGAUGUUCUAACGUGGACCCGUGAUCCGGGUUGCGGACAGUGUCUGGUGGGUAGUUUGACUGGGGCGGUCUCCUCCUAAAGAGUAACGGAGGAGCACGAAGGUUGGCUAAUCCUGGUCGGACAUCAGGAGGUUAGUGCAAUGGCAUAAGCCAGCUUGACUGCGAGCGUGACGGCGCGAGCAGGUGCGAAAGCAGGUCAUAGUGAUCCGGUGGUUCUGAAUGGAAGGGCCAUCGCUCAACGGAUAAAAGGUACUCCGGGGAUAACAGGCUGAUACCGCCCAAGAGUUCAUAUCGACGGCGGUGUUUGGCACCUCGAUGUCGGCUCAUCACAUCCUGGGGCUGAAGUAGGUCCCAAGGGUAUGGCUGUUCGCCAUUUAAAGUGGUACGCGAGCUGGGUUUAGAACGUCGUGAGACAGUUCGGUCCCUAUCUGCCGUGGGCGCUGGAGAACUGAGGGGGGCUGCUCCUAGUACGAGAGGACCGGAGUGGACGCAUCACUGGUGUUCGGGUUGUCAUGCCAAUGGCACUGCCCGGUAGCUAAAUGCGGAAGAGAUAAGUGCUGAAAGCAUCUAAGCACGAAACUUGCCCCGAGAUGAGUUCUCCCUGACCCUUUAAGGGUCCUGAAGGAACGUUGAAGACGACGACGUUGAUAGGCCGGGUGUGUAAGCGCAGCGAUGCGUUGAGCUAACCGGUACUAAUGAACCGUGAGGCUUAACCU